CCGAAGAAAACGUUUCUGGAGCCAUAACAGGAGCAGGAGGGGCCCGUGGUAUCAGAUGCUUAGAAAUGGCUUGAUUAAGGCUGGAAAGGACUAUGGCAGUUUAUUGCGUGUCCACUCCGGCAAGCACAUCAGUUUGCAAGUGGAAGUUUGCUCAGAGGUACUCAUUUGGCAGGUCACUUGGCAUGCAGCGUCUUGGUUCGCAGCAAGGGACCGGAACCAAAGCUCCUCGACCUGAGCCCAAUCGCCGGAGCGGCUCGCCGGACUACACGCCCCAGGAUGCAUCGGGGCCAGCUCCCCAUUGGAGGAAGCGGCGACGGUGGCGGCGCGCCGACCGGAAGACCCGCCUACGCCCCGGGUCUCGCAGAAGACUUUCCUUCCUCCGGCGCUAUGCGUCCGGACCAGGCCUCGCUUUGGUACCGGCGCAUGUCCUCCGUUUACGCUUUGGGCACCUGGACCUUGUUGGGCGCCUUGAUUUUCUCCGGCCGCAAAAAGAGCAAACCAUUAGGUGAUGAAGUAGAACAAAAAGAUGUCUCAACAUAUGAAAGCCCUGAGUCAGGUGAUGAAUUAGACCUAAGGAAGGAAAUAACUGAGCCCCCGAAAGGGUUUUAUGUGGAAACGAUUGUCACAUAUAAAGAAGAUUUUGUUCCAAUGACUGACAAGAUCCUCAACUAUUGGAAAUCAUGGACUGGUGGCCCUGGACCAGAAUCAUGAUUGACUGCUGGAUUCCGAAAACCAGGACUUUGUUUCAGCAUGUAAAUGUGAUGAUGCCUUGAUUUCAAUUUUACGUUUUUGAAAAGACCAGAACAGGUAUGGAUUAAAUCCCAACUGUGACUACCAAUAUUCUAGACACGGCGUACAAAGUUGGGACAACGUGGUUCCUGUCCGAGAGUGCCGCACUGGUCUCUUGAUUGCAAGUAACAAGUGGGCUUAACUCAAGGGGUAUUUAUCAAAAAUUGUGUUUGGAUACCUCAGAAUUAAAGCAAAUUACGUUGUAGGCCUUGAAGUCCUGGCACCAUGAACUGGAAUGCAGCCAGCCACUCAUUGAACCUGCCUGCCUCUGGCUAAAAUAAAUUCUAAUAAAUUCUUUUUGUUCUGAUUUAGAGAGAGGAAGGGAGAGAAAGAGAAGAAAACAUUGAUUUGUUGUUCCACAUUUUUAAAGGAAAUAUAUUUUGAUGAU